rnacentral:lncRNA from 1 species
GGAGGCUCUGGUUUGCGUGUUGGGGGCUCUGUGUUGGAGGCUCUGGUGUGUGUGUGUGUGUUGGGGGCUCUGGUUGUGUGUGUGUGUGUGUUGGCGGCUCUGGUGUGUGUCUUGGGAGGCUCUGGUGUGUGUGUGUGUGUGUUGGCGGCUCUGGUGUGUGUGAGUGCUGAGAGCUCUGAUGUGUGUGUGUGUUGGGGGCUCUGGUGUGUAUGUUGGGGGCUCUGGUGUGUGUGUGUUGGGGGCCCUGGUGUGUGUUGGGGGCUCUGGUGUGUGUGUUGGAGGCUCUGGUGUGUGUGUUGGGGGCUCUGUUGUGUGUGUGUAUUGGGGGCUCUGGUGUGUUGGGGGGCUCUGGUGUGUAUGUUGGGGGCUCGUGUGUGUGUUGGAGGCUCUGGUGUAUGUGUUGGCUCUGUGUGUGUUGAAGGGCUCUGGUGUGUGUGUGUUGGCUCUGGUGUGUGUGUGUGUGUGUGUGUGUGUGUGUGUUGGGGGCUCUGGUGUGUAUGUGUUGGAGGCUCUGGUGUAUGUGUUGGCUCUGUGUGUGUUGAAGGGCUCUGGUGUAUGUGUGUUGGCUCUGGUGUGUGUGUUGGGGGCUCUGGUGUGUGUGUGUGUCUGUUGGGGGCUCUGGUGUGUAUGUGUUGGAGGCUCUGGUGUGUAUGAGUGUUGGGGGCUCUCGUGUGUGUAUAUGUGUUGGAGGCUCUGGUGUGUGUGUGUUGGCUGUGGUGUGUGUGUUGGGGGCUCUGGUGUGUGUGUUGGGGGCUCUGGUGUGUAUGUUGGGGGCUCUGGUGUAUGUGUUGGGAGCUCAGUGUGUGUGUAUUGGGGGCUCUGGUGUGUGCGUGGAGGGCUGUGGUAUGUGUGUUGGAGGCUCUGGUGUAUGUGUUGGGGGGCUCUGGUGUGUAUGAGUGUUGGGGGCUCUAGUGUGUGUGUCAGGGGCUCUGUGUGUAUUAGGGGCUCUGGUGUGUGUGUUAGGGGGCUCUGGUGUGGGAGGCUCUGGUGUGUGUGUUGGGGGCUCUGUUGUGUGUGUGUAUUGGGGGCUCUGGUGUGUUGGGGGGCUCUGGUGUGUAUGUUGGGGGCUCGUGUGUGUGUUGGAGGCUCUGGUGUAUGUGUUGGCUCUGUGUGUGUUGAAGGGCUCUGGUGUGUGUGUGUUGGCUCUGGUGUGUGUGUGUGUGUGUGUGUGUGUGUGUUGGGGGCUCUGGUGU